rnacentral:rRNA from 1 species
CAAAAACAUGUCUUUUUGAUUAUAAUUUAAAGUCUUGCCUGCCCAAUGAUUAAUUUAAUGGCCGCAGUAUUUUGACUGUGCAAAGGUAGCAUAAUCAUUAGUUUUUUAAUUGAAAGCUGGAAUGAAUGGUUUGAUGAAAAAUAAACUGUCUCUUUAUAAAUUUUUUAGAAUUUUAAUUUUAAGUGAAAAAGCUUAAAUUUUAUAUAAAGACGAGAAGACCCUAUAGAGUUUUAUAGUUACAAAUAAUUAAUAAUUUUUAGUUUUUAUUUAUUUUUAUUUUUGUAAUUAUUUUGUUGGGGUGAUAUAAAAAUUAACUUAACUUUUUAUUUAUUUUUACAUUUAUUUAUGAUUUUUUGAUCCUUUAUUUUGGAUUAUAAGAAUAAAUUACCUUAGGGAUAACAGCGUAAUUUUUUUGGAAAGUUCUUAUUUAUAGAAAAGUUUGCGACCUCGAUGUUGGAUUAAAAUUUAUUUUUGGUGUAGAAGCUGAAAUAUUAGGUCUGUUCGACCUUUAAAAUUUUACAUGAUCU